ensembl:misc_RNA Y_RNA Y RNA
GGCUGGUCUGAGGGCAGUGGUGUUUACAAUUCAUUGAUCACAGCCAGUUACAGAUUUCUUUGUUCCUUCUCUACUCCCACUGCUUUACUUGACUAGCCAAAA